rnacentral:rRNA from 1 species
CAGUAGCCGCGGUAAUACGAAGGGGGCUAGCGUUGCUCGGAAUCACUGGGCGUAAAGGGUGCGUAGGCGGGUCUUUAAGUCAGGGGUGAAAUCCUGGAGCUCAACUCCAGAACUGCCUUUGAUACUGAAGAUCUUGAGUUCGGGAGAGGUGAGUGGAACUGCGAGUGUAGAGGUGAAAUUCGUAGAUAUUCGCAAGAACACCAGUGGCGAAGGCGGCUCACUGGCCCGAUACUGACGCUGAGGCACGAAAGCGUGGGGAGCAAACAGGAUUAGAUACCCCUGUAGUCCCUGUCUCUUAUAC